AACGAACGCUGGCGGCAUGCCUAACACAUGCAAGUCGAACGAGACCUUCGGGACUAGUGGCGCACGCGUGCGUAACGCGUCGGAACCUUCCCUUAGGCUCGGGAUAACUCUCCGAAAGGGGUGCUAAUGCCGGAUAACGUCCUCUAACCCAAGAUUUGUCGUGCUUGGAUGGGCACGCGUUGGAUUAGCUAGUUGCGAGGGUAAAAGCCUACCAAGGCUACGAUCGAUAGCUGGUCUGAGAGGAUGAUCAGCGACACUGGGACUGAGACACGGCCCAGACUCCUACGGGAGGCAGCAGAGGGGAAUACUGGACAAUGGGCGAAAGCCUGAACCAGCAAUGCCGCGUGAGUGAUGAAGGCCGUAGGGUUGUAAAGCUCGUUUACCCGGGAUGAUAAUGACAGUACCGGGAGAAUAAGCACCGGCUAACUCCGUG
rnacentral:rRNA from 1 species